UGGGGAAUUUUGGACAAUGGGCGCAAGCCUGAUCCAGCAAUGCCGCAUGCAGGAUGAAGGCCUUCGGGUUGUAAACUGCUUUUGUACGGAACGAAACGGCUCUGUCCAAUACAUGGGGCUAAUGACGGUACCGUAAGAAUAAGCACCGGCUAACUACGUGCCAGCAGCCGCGGUAAUACGUAGGGUGCGCGCGUUAAUCGGAAUUACUGGGCGUAAAGCGUGCGCAGGCGGUUAUAUAAGACAGAUGUGAAAUCCCCGGGCUCAACCUGGGACCUGCAUUUGUGACUGUAUAGCUGGAGUACGGUAGGGGGGGAUGGAAUUCCGCGUGUAGCAGUGAAAUGCGUAGAUAUGCGGAGGAACACCGAUGGCGAAGGCAAUCCCCUGGACCUGUACUGACGCUCAUGCACAAAAGCGUGGGGAGCAAAC
rnacentral:rRNA from 1 species